rnacentral:rRNA from 1 species
UACGUAGGGUCCGAGCGUUGUCCGGAAUUAUUGGGCGUAAAGGGCUCGUAGGCGGUCUGUUGCGUCGGGAGUGAAAACUCAGGGCUUAACCCUGAGCCUGCUUCCGAUACGGGCAGACUAGAGGUAUGCAGGGGAGAACGGAAUUCCUGGUGUAGCGGUGAAAUGCGCAGAUAUCAGGAGGAACACCGGUGGCGAAGGCGGUUCUCUGGGCAUUACCUGACGCUGAGGAGCGAAAGUGUGGGGAGCGAACAGG